GCUGUAUGCAUGUGUGGAGCACAGCGGUGGUCUGAAAGCAGGACAUUACACUGCAACCAUCAAGUCUGAGGAUGAUGGGAAAUGGUAUAAGUUCAGUGACACCACAGUAGUGCCGCUUUCAUUCCAGCCUCUCCAGGUGGAUUCCAGUCACAGAUUCAGAGAUGCUUAUCUUCUAUUUUACCGGAGAGAGAAAAGAAGUUCAUCUGGAGACGAGGCGUCCCCUCCUGCAGCCUCCACACUGCAAACCAGAGGCGUCAGUGAUCUGAGAGGAAACGCUGUGAAGAGAGAAGACAAGGAGGACGAGGAGA